GAAUCUUGGGAAUGGGCGAAAGCCUGACCCAGCAACGCCGCGUGGGCGAUGAAGGCCUUAGGGUCGUAAAGCCCUUUUGUGGGGGAAGAUGAUGACGGUACCCCACGAAUAAGCCACGGCUACCUACGUGCCAGCAGCCGCGGUAAUACGUAGGUGGCGAGCGUUGUCCGGAUUUAUUGGGCGUAAAGCGCGUGCAGGCGGUUCGUUAAGUUCAGGGUGAGAGCUCCCGGCUCAACUGGGAGAGGUCCUUGGAUACUGGCGGACUUGAGGGAGGUAGAGGAGAGUGGAAUUCUCGGUGUAGUGGUGAUAUGCGUAGAUAUCGAGAGGAACACCAGUGGCGAAGGCGGCUCUCUGGGCCUUUCCUGACGCUGAGACGCGAAAGCGUGGGGAGCGAACCGG
rnacentral:rRNA from 1 species